rnacentral:lncRNA from 1 species
AUCUGUUCUGCUGGCACAUGGAUAAUGUGGGAAGGCCUGUCACCAUGGUGAUGAACUGCAUUGCUUUCUUGUUCAUAAAUGGCAUCGCGUUCAGGCUGAGGAAGACUGAGGAACCUUCGGAUCAUGGAGAGAUUCUCCCAGAGGGUCCUGUUCUCUGGUGAGGGAUCUUCUUUCCAACGUAACAGCUCACAGAGCCAUCCCUGGCUUUUGGUUGCUG